UCCUGUACGAUCACUGUAGUUAAGCAAUGCCAAGCCUGGUAAGUACCUAAAUGGGUUACCCCUUGGGAAUACCAGGUGCUGUAAG